rnacentral:rRNA from 1 species
UACAGAGGUCCCAAGCGUUGUUCGGAUUCACUGGGCGUAAAGGGUGCGUAGGCGGUCGGGUAAGUCUGACGUGAAAUCUCCGGGCCUAACCCGGAAACUGCGUUGGAAACUGCCUGGCUAGAGGAAUGGAGGGGAGACUGGAAUACUUGGUGUAGCAGUGAAAUGCGUAGAUAUCAAGUGGAACACCAGUGGCGAAGGCGAGUCUCUGGACAUUUCCUGACGCUGAGGCACGAAAGCCGGGGGAGCAAACGGG